rnacentral:rRNA from 1 species
UACGGAGGGAGCUAGCGUUGUUCGGAAUUACUGGGCGUAAAGCGCACGUAGGCGGCUUUGUAAGUCAGGGGUGAAAUCCCGGAGCUCAACUUCGGAACUGCCUUUGAUACAGCACGUCUUGAGUCCGGAAGAGGUGGGUGGAAUUCCUAGUGUAGAGGUGAAAUUCGUAGAUAUUAGGAAGAACACCGGUGGCGAAGGCGGCCCACUGGUCCGAUACUGACGCUGAGGUGCGAAAGCGUGGGGAGCAAACAGG